ACUACUUUGGCAGAAGAACAAUAGUGCAAUAGGUUUAGACCCUAUAUAUAUGAUAAAUCAUAGGUAGUA
rnacentral:tRNA from 1 species